GGCAGCCGCAGGUGGAUCUUCAUACAAGGCCAGAUUUCUACCACAGUUCAGUCUCAGAGUUUAACACUUCUCUAACAGCCACAUAGAACAGACAUUCUUCAGCUAGGAGUUUGAAGGCUCCCCAGUCGAGCCUCACAAUUGCCCACCCAAUCCUUUCUACCUCUGGGAUGCCCAUGCACCAGCAGGUAGAAGAGAAAAAGGGAAAACAUAAAGACCAAGCUGGGAGACCAAACACUGUCAAGGUGGCAUUUUGCCAACAUGCCACAAAAGCAAGCACAGACGCCAAAGCACGAGCAGUUGGCUGGAGUGGAGACACCACCAG
rnacentral:lncRNA from 10 species